rnacentral:tRNA from 1 species
GGGCUUAUAGUUUAAUUGGUUAGAACAUACCGCUCAUAACGGUGUUGUUGUAGGUUCGAGUCCUGCUAAGCCUA